rnacentral:rRNA from 1 species
UGGGGAAUAUUGGACAAUGGGCGAAAGCCUGAUCCAGCCAUGCCGCGUGUGUGAAGAAGGUCUUCGGAUUGUAAAGCACUUUAAGUUGGGAGGAAGGGCAUUAACCUAAUACGUUAGUGUUUUGACGUUACCGACAGAAUAAGCACCGGCUAACUCUGUGCCAGCAGCCGCGGUAAUACAGAGGGGGCAAGCGUUAAUCGGAAUUACUGGGCGUAAAGCGCGCGUAGGUGGUUUGUUAAGUUGGAUGUGAAAUCCCCGGGCUCAACCUGGGAACUGCAUUCAAAACUGACUGACUAGAGUAUGGUAGAGGGUGGUGGAAUUUCCUGUGUAGCGGUGAAAUGCGUAGAUAUAGGAAGGAACACCAGUGGCGAAGGUGACCACCUGGACUAAUACUGACACUGAGGUGCGAAAGCGUGGGGAGCAAACA